GACGAAGUUUUCUAGGGUUCCGUAUGUCAAUCUGACAUAGUCUGGUCCGAGAGAAAACACAUAUGUAUCAGAUUUGCGGAUGCAUAUGCACACGGAGGGAGAAAAGCCCGGGAGAG
rnacentral:sRNA from 2 species